AGACGUGUGUGUGUGUGUGUGUGUGUGUGUGUGUGUGUGUGUGUACGCUGCAGGUGGAGCACGUUGAGGCCUACAUGGUGCACGGAUGGAUGGGAGGGUUUCACCGGGGAGCUGCGGACUGAAGGCCACUGGGUGUGACCCGGGACAGGGCCUGCAGGAGACAGACG